rnacentral:miRNA from 1 species
AGGUCAUCUAGCAGCUUCAAU